UACGGGGGGAGCAAGCGUUGUUCGGAUUUACUGGGCGUAAAGGGCGCGUAGGCGGCGCAACAAGUCACUUGUGAAAUCUCCGGCUUAACCCGGAGCGGUCAAGUGAUACUGUCGUGCUAGAGUGCGGAAGGGCUACUGGAAUUCUCGGUGUAGCGGUGAAAUGCGUAGAUAUCGAGAGGAACACCUGCGGCGAAGGCGGGUAGCUGGGCCGACACUGACGGCUGACGGCGCGAAAGCCCAGGGGAGCGAACGGG
rnacentral:rRNA from 1 species